rnacentral:rRNA from 1 species
UACGUAGGGUGCAAGCGUUGUCCGGAAUUAUUGGGCGUAAAGAGCUCGUAGGCGGUUUGUUGCGUCGGCUGUGAAAUCCCGAGGCUCAACCUCGGGUCUGCAGUCGAUACGAGCAAACUAGAGUGUUGCAGGGGAGACUGGAAUUCCUGGUGUAGCGGUGAAAUGCGCAGAUAUCAGGAGGAACACCGGUGGCGAAGGCGGGUCUCUGGGCCGUUACUGACGCUGAGGAGCGAAAGCGUGGGGAGCGAACAGG